GUCUCGGUGCUCCUUCCAGGAGGGUCACACCUGUUCCCAUCCCGACCACAGCAGUUAAGCCUCCUUGGGCCGAUGGUAGUGCGAUUGCGCGAGAGUAGGUAGGCGCCGGGACA
rnacentral:rRNA from 1 species